rnacentral:rRNA from 1 species
UACGUAGGGUGCAAGCGUUAUCCGGAAUUAUUGGGCGUAAAGAGCUCGUAGGCGGUUUGUCGCGUCGUCCGUGAAAACUUGGGGCUCAACCCCAAGCUUGCGGGCGAUACGGGCAGGCUAGAGUUCGGUAGGGGAGACUGGAAUUCCUGGUGUAGCGGUGAAAUGCGCAGAUAUCAGGAGGAACACCGAUGGCGAAGGCAGGUCUCUGGGCCGAUACUGACGCUGAGGAGCGAAAGCGUGGGGAGCGAACAGG